rnacentral:rRNA from 1 species
CGGGACACGUGGUAUCCUGUCUGAAUAUGGGGGGACCAUCCUCCAAGGCUAAAUACUCCUGACUGACCGAUAGUGAACCAGUACCGUGAGGGAAAGGCGAAAAGAACCCCGGCGAGGGGAGUGAAAAAGAACCUGAAACCGUGUACGUACAAGCAGUGGGAGCACAGAGCAAUCUGUGUGACUGCGUACCUUUUGUAUAAUGGGUCAGCGACUUAUAUUCUGUAGCAAGGUUAACCGAAUAGGGGAGCCGAAGGGAAACCGAGUCUUAACUGGGCGUUAAGUUGCAGGGUAUAGACCCGAAACCCGGUGAUCUAGCCAUGGGCAGGUUGAAGGUUGGGUAACACUAACUGGAGGACCGAACCGACUAAUGUUGAAAAAUUAGCGGAUGACUUGUGGCUGGGGGUGAAAGGCCAAUCAAACCGGGAGAUAGCUGGUUCUCCCCGAAAGCUAUUUAGGUAGCGCCUCGUGAAUUCAUCUCCGGGGGUAGAGCACUGUUUCGGCAAGGGGGUCAUCCCGACUUACCAACCCGAUGCAAACUGCGAAUACCGGAGAAUGUUAUCACGGGAGACACACGGCGGGUGCUAACGUCCGUCGUGAAGAGGGAAACAACCCAGACCGCCAGCUAAGGUCCCAAAGUCAUGGUUAAGUGGGAAACGAUGUGGGAAGGCCCAGACAGCCAGGAUGUUGGCUUAGAAGCAGCCAUCAUUUAAAGAAAGCGUAAUAGCUCACUGGUCGAGUCGGCCUGCGCGGAAGAUGUAACGGGGCUAAACCAUGCACCGAAGCUGCGGCAGCGACGCUU